UUUCUGUGUACCCACUCACCAGCCGCAGCUCACUUGAACCUCAGAGGUUUGUCUCCCUUUGCCCAGCGACUAAGGAUCAGCUCUGGACCAGGCAACCCACUGAUUUUCUCCACCAUCCAAUGGGCUGCAACCGCAUCUUCUUCAGUGAUAUGAACCUCAGCCUUGGGAAACCGGCCACCCUUCCAAGUUUGUCCUUCCUUGGAACCUGUCUAACCAGCAUCACUGUGAGAACAAGGUCAGCCCCGCCAGGACAGCUUAUGGAUCUGCAGCUACACCUGCGGUAGGGGGCACAGGACUGGUGGUGGUACAAGGCAGCUCCAGUGUUGACUAGUGGCUCAGUUUGAGGAGGAGGACAUAGCUAAUGGCAUUUGCAUACUGCAAAGUGUUGCCAAUGGAGGCAUGAGGCUGGUGGUGGCCAGCACACCUUUGAUGAACAUCGUGAUAUGGCUAGAAGAUUACACACCCACAAUCCUGGGUGCUGUGACUGGUUACCCCCUGAUGCUGGCUUUGAAGCCUCCAGUGCAAGCAUAAUUCAGCUCAUCUCUCUGGCUCCAGAAAUUCAUCUCAGAUAUUGCCAACAAUGCCCUAUAGUACUUCAAAAUGAAGGGCAUAGCCUCUGGAAGCUCCCGAAGCAAGAGCGAGGAUAACAAGUUUUCUAACGAUAGAGAACUUGACCCUUGACAUCAGCAAGUAUAGCAUUGAUGUGAAGAGGCUGCACUACACUUCACUGGAGCCAACCUAAAUGUACUUGUUUGUCCCCUAGCCUCCACAAUGGUUGUUUUCAUAAUAAACUACUAUAAUAGCAA